AUGCAACAUGAACAUGAACUGAUCACCGAGACUGCAUUGCGUAUGAAAGACAGUUUUAUUUACUAGCCCGACAGGCUAAUGCAGUAUAGAUUUAUGAUAGCCCAACCUCUAAAAUUGGUAGCUCUGGGCGUUGGGCGAUGGUAAUUGCACACCCCUGCCCGGGGCAGGGCGGGUCACAAUGGGAGAUCAAAGUUUUACAUGGGAAUACAUUGGAAAAAUCUUCUCCAGAACCACUGGGCCAAGAAAGAUGAAACUGAUGUAGAAACAUCUUCAGAGAAGACGAAUGUCACCUUCAUCAGAAGCAGAUUUUUACUGCCAGGCUGGCUUUGACCAAAAAGGUUUUGAGAUCAAAUUUAUAUCAGACUAUAAAAACAUCCAAACGGCUAGCUCGGAUGUGGAAGUGGAAUCGGACCCUUUUAGUCGGGAAUUCCAUGGGAAAUUCAUUUGACAGUGAUGAUGAUGAUGAGAUUAAUUCAGCUUGUUGUGAUCCUCCUGGACAUCCAAGUGUUUUCGACAUUGAUGAAGAUUUUGUCACUCUCUCUCUCUUGGACCAAACCAAGAAAUGAAUCAGAUGGUUUUAAGAAGAUUAUAGGAUAUGUCAUAGAAUACGAAGACCCCACCACUGGAGGCAGGCUAAUGACUACCCAGUAGAUGAGUGUGUUUAUGAGGUGUAGGGAUUAAAAAAGGACAAGGAAUACAACUUCCACAUACAGGCCAAGAAUCUUGAAGGUUUUAGUGAGUCUAGUGAUGUGAUUGGUCCCAUAACUCCCAAGCCCAAAUACACCAAGGUUUUGCCACCUGGUGUACCAGAGGCUGUCAACAAUUCUAUAACAUAUCUGAAAUGGGAACCACCUAAACAUAAUGGUGGCUGUAAAAUUACAGACUACCUUGUGGAAGAGAGGUUUAAGGGAGCAGAGAUGUGGUGUAAGUGUAAUGAGUACCCCUGCACUGACCCCUCUUUACUGUCACCGAUCUUCCUUAGGACUCAGAGUGGGAGUUUAGAGUUACAGCUGUUAACUUUGCUGGAAAAUGUGAGCCCAGUCUGUGCUCACCAGCAUACAAAAUCCAGGAGAAGAUUGAGUCUUUUGCAAUUGAGCAGGAUGAGGAAUCACACCAAUCAUUGUAAAUGAAAGCAGCAGUCAUGAUGUUGUCAAUGAGAAUGAGUUUUAAAUAGGAUAUGAUACAGGGCCACUUUUAAGUGAUGAAGCAGACGAGUAUGAUGAUGGUAAUGAUGAUGAAUCAUACCAUCCUUCAAGCAAUGAAAAAAGCUGUGAUGAAGAUACCAUUAAUGAUCUUGAUAUGCCCAGUAAGCCUCUCAAAUCUGAAAUGCAGCAGAAACAAGCUGCACUUGCAAGUGACAGCGAAAAGGACAGUGAAUGUGAAGAUGAUCAUGAUGAUGUCAGCAAAGUUUUACCACAGUCAGAGAAGCGAAAGACCAGUUUUUUAGAGGCCAAAAACAUCAUCUGGGAACUAUGAUAAUAAAAAACAUUCAUGUCUCUUUUGUGAGAAGUUUUGCCAGCAGGCCAAUUGAUGGUAUGCAUAUCAUAUAAGCCCAUAGCUCUUUAAGUACAAAAAAUUGUGAGAUUCAUUUUUGCAUAUAGGUUCAGGAUGGAGCUGAAUAUUGAAAAAAUAUAUCCUAUAAUUUUUUUUCGUGGACAUGUAGCAGACAGCUGUUUGCAUAAUUUAAGCAAGUAAUUAUUUUUUAACCAAAAUUUGUGAAAUUUAUCGCUCAUGACCCAUUGUUCAUGCAAGGUUUACCUAUUUAUAUUGACACUGCAACAGACCCAUAGAACGCCCCCCCCCCCCCACUUUUUCUGAGUAUAGAAUUUUGCUGUAG